UACGUAGGUCCCGAGCGUUGACCGGAUUUAUUGGGCGUAAAGCGAGCGCAGGUGGUUUAUUAAGUCUGGUGUAAAAGGCAGUGGCUCAACCAUUGUAUGCAUUGGAAACUGGUAGACUUGAGUGCAGGAGAGGAGAGUGGAAUUCCAUGUGUAGCGGUGAAAUGCGUAGAUAUAUGGAGGAACACCGGUGGCGAAAGCGGCUCUCUGGCCUGUAACUGACACUGAGGCUCGAAAGCGUGGGGAGCAAACAGG
rnacentral:rRNA from 1 species